rnacentral:rRNA from 1 species
AUUACCGCGGCUGCUGGCACGUAGUUAGCCGGUGCUUCUUCUGCGGGUACCGUCAUCCGACCGGACUAUUCGCCCGGCCGAUUUCUUCCCCACCGAAAGGGCUUUACAACCCGAAGGCCUUCUUCACCCACGCGGCAUUGCUGGAUCAGGCUUGCGCCCAUUGUCCAAGAUUCCCCACUGCUGCCUCCCGUAGG